rfam:Trichobilharzia regenti genome assembly, scaffold: TRE_scaffold0011912
AUCCAGCUGACGUGUCCCAAAUAGGACGAAAUGCGCAUCCUGGAU